UGUGAUGGAUUGUUUUUCGAUCGUUAAAUGUUGCGGGACUUUUCAGAUCUAACGAUUCUGGUAUAGCUUAACAUAUAUAAAACACAUAUCGAAUGCUUGCUUGAAAUGUAAGCAAAAGCAAAGUCUGUUUUGCAGUUUGGUGAGCAGCUAGACGAGCCCGAAAGCAAAAGCAAAAGCAAAGUCCGUUUUUCAGGAGUUACAGGAGUCAAGUCAGUCACCAUCAAAUCUCUCUCAGCGCUCAUUCUGUUCUUACCUACAUGGAGAAUUGUGUGGAUCACGCCAUGGCGAGCUGCCCAGUGGAGCUGAAGAGCAUCUUUUCGAACGGGUCGGUUGGUCGAUUAGUGUGGAACUUCAGUUGGAGGUUUCUUGUGAUUGAAGCAAAUUGGAUUUCCUUUUUUUCUUGGGCCGUUUCUUGAUCAGGUUCGAUAUUGAUGGAAGCUGAGAAAUUCCGGAGGGUGGUUCUUGGUGCUGUGGAGAGAGAGCUUUAGGUUCUUGAGUAGCAGGAGAACCAACAUGGCGUCUGCGCCAGGGAGCAGAUUUAGGCUUCUACCAUCUGGUAGAAAUCCCGAUAACCUGCCUGAGAAGUGGGUCUGUAGCAUGCUGGACGUGGCAUCUUUCCUCUUGUGAUUUAAACCAGUAGUUAUGGAAGAAGAAGGUGCUUGACAUGUUGAUUCGAGGUAAUGACAUUUGCUUAAUUCGCGAUAAAUGAGGCAUAUGGCAUGAACUGAUGUAGUGUAAGCAAGGAGGAAACUACAAAAGCGAUAUCCAAAUGCUUCAUCAUCCUGAUGCUCAAAAAAGCGCUCCUCUUACUUCUGACUUGACGGUCCCAAAAGCUGCUGAAGACGACAUCACUUGCAGCACCUCGAUCACCAGCGCAAGCUCUGUUCAAGCGAAGACGCCACCCUAGAUCAUCCCUCCGAAUUGCGCAUCCUCAUGGAGCGGAGUGCAGAAACACGAGGUGUGGAAGGUUCAUGGGGCUAUGUGGGUUGCUAGCAUUCAUAGUAAAAACCUAACAUACUCGAGUCACGUUAGCUGGUGGUCUAUUGAGAUGACUCUGUUCAUGUACCCUGGAAGUGGUAUCACAGUAAUGGCAAAGGCCAUUUUGAAAGGCCGAGCUUGUGAUC